rnacentral:rRNA from 1 species
GUCUACAGCUAUGCCACCCUGAACAAGCCCUAAAUCAUCUGAUCUUGGAAGCUAAGCAGGGUCUGGCCUGGUUAGUACUUGGAUGGGAGACCACCUAGGAAGAUCAGGUGCUAUAGAGU